UUAAAUUGAAGAGUUUGAUCAUGGCUCAGAUUGAACGCUGGCGGCAGGCCUAACACAUGCAAGUCGAGCGGAAACGAGUUAUCAGAACCUUCGGGGGACGA
rnacentral:rRNA from 1 species